GACGGAGGAUGCAAGUGUUAUCCGGAAUCACUGGGCGUAAAGCGUCUGUAGGUGGUUCAAUAAGUCAACUGUUAAAUCUUGAGGCUCAACUUCAAAAAUCGCAGUCGAAACUAUUGGACUCGAGUAUAGUAGGGGUAAAGGGAAUUUCCAGUGGAGCGGUGAAAUGCGUAGAGAUUGGAAAGAACACCAAUGGCGAAAGCACUUUACUGGGCUAUUACUGACACUGAGAGACGAAAGCUAGGGUAGCAAUGGG
rnacentral:rRNA from 1 species